CCUUAGAGUUUGAUCCUGGCUCAGGAUGAACGCUAGCUACAGGCUUAACACAUGCAAGUCGAGGGGAAACGACAUCGAAAGCUUGCUUUUGAUGGGCGUCGACCGGCGCACGGGUGAGUAACGCGUAUCCAACCUGCCCACCACUUGGGGAUAACCUUGCGAAAGUAAGACUAAUACCCAAUGACGUCUCUAGAAGGCAUCUGAAAGAGAUUAAAGAUUUAUCGGUGAUGGAUGGGGAUGCGUCUGAUUAGCUUGUUGGCGGGGUAACGGCCCACCAAGGCUACGAUCAGUAGGGGUUCUGAGAGGAAGGUCCCCCACAUUGGAACUGAGACACGGUCCAAACUCCUACGGGAGGCAGCAGUGAGGAAUAUUGGUCAAUGGACGAGAGUCUGAACCAGCCAAGUAGCGUGCAGGAUGACGGCCCUAUGGGUUGUAAACUGCUUUUAGUUGGGAAUAAAGUGCACCACGUGUGGUGUUUUGUAUGUACCAUCAGAAAAAGGACCGGCUAAUUCCGUGCCAGCAGCCGCGGUAAUACGGAAGGUCCAGGCGUUAUCCGGAUUUAUUGGGUUUAAAGGGAGCGCAGGCGGACCUUUAAGUCAGCUGUGAAAUACGGCGGCUCAACCGUCGAACUGCAGUUGAUACUGGAGGUCUUGAGUGCACACAGGGAUACUGGAAUUCAUGGUGUAGCGGUGAAAUGCUCAGAUAUCAUGAAGAACUCCGAUCGCGAAGGCAGGUAUCCGGGGUGCAACUGACGCUGAGGCUCGAAAGUGCGGGUAUCAAACAGGAUUAGAUACCCUGGUAGUCCGCACAGUAAACGAUGAAUACUCGCGAUUUGCGAUACACAGUAAGUCGCCAAGCGAAAGCGUUAAGUAUUCCACCUGGGGAGUACGCCGGCAACGGUGAAACUCAAAGGAAUUGACGG
rnacentral:rRNA from 1 species